GGCGGGUACGUACGUGCGCUUUACGCGUUCGCCCCCACUGGCCGGAGGCGGCGAGGUCGACCGGAAACAUGAUCAGAGACAGAGAUCUUCACCCAGGGAUGCAGAAAGGCCGUGACAUCCGAUUCGAUUCCUCAUCGCCAAUGGAUCGGAGGUCGACUUGGGGAGAUAUCAUUGCUGGACCGGAUCAGAUCAUCAGAGUGUUGUGUCCAGGCAAACGGAUUGGAGAAGCUAGCAUGCGUAGCAGGUAGCACGAUGCGCGGUGUUCAUGUGCUUAUA
rnacentral:lncRNA from 1 species